rnacentral:rRNA from 1 species
GACGAACGCUGGCGGCGUGCCUAAUACAUGCAAGUAGAACGCUGAAGGAGGAGCUUGCUUCUCUGGAUGAGUUGCGAACGGGUGAGUAACGCGUAGGUAACCUGCCUGGUAGCGGGGGAUAACUAUUGGAAACGAUAGCUAAUACCGCAUAAGAGUAGAUGUUGCAUGACAUUUGCUUAAAAGGUGCAAUUGCAUCACUACCAGAUGGACCUGCGUUGUAUUAGCUAGUUGGUGGGGUAACGGCUUACCAAGGCGACGAUACAUAGCCGACCUGAGAGGGUGAUCGGCCACACUGGGCCUGAGACACGGCCCAGACUCCUACAGGAGGCAGCAGUAGGGAAUCUUCGGAAAUGGACGGAAGGCUGACCGAGCAACGCCGAGUGAGUGAAGAAGGUUUUCGGAUCGUAAAGCUCUGUUGUAAGAGAAGAAAGAGUGUGAGAGUGGAAAGUUCACACUGUGACGGUAGCUUACCAGAAAGGGACGGCUAACUACGUG